rnacentral:rRNA from 1 species
UACGAAGGAUGCAAGCGUUAUCCGGAUUCAUUGGGUUUAAAGGGCGCGUAGGUGGCCUGCUAAGUCAGUGGUGAAAUCUCUGGGCUUAACCCAGAAAUUGCCAUUGAUACUGGUGGGCUUGAGUGCAGUUGCUGUUGGCGGAAUAUGACAUGUAGUGGUGAAAUACAUAGAGAUGUCAUAGAACACCGAUUGCGAAGGCAGCUAACAAAACUGUAACUGACACUGAGGCUCGAAAGUGUGGGGAUCAAACAGG